rnacentral:rRNA from 1 species
AGAGUUUGAUCCUGGCUCAGGACGAACGCUGGCGGCGUGCUUAACACAUGCAAGUCGAGCGGAAAGGCCCUUCGGGGUACUCGAGCGGCGAACGGGUGAGUAACACGUGAGUAACCUGCCCUAGGCUUUGGGAUAACCCUCGGAAACGGGGGCUAAUACCGGAUAUUCAUUCUUGGCGGCAUCGUCGAGUGUGGAAAGUUUUUCGGCCUGGGAUGGGCUCGCGGCCUAUCAGCUUGUUGGUGGGGUGAUGGCCUACCAAGGCGACGACGGGUAGCCGGCCUGAGAGGGCGACCGGCCACACUGGGACUGAGACACGGCCCAGACUCCUACGGGAGGCAGCAGUGGGGAAUAUUGCACAAUGGGCGGAAGCCUGAUGCAGCGACGCCGCGUGAGGGAUGAAGGCCUUCGGGUUGUAAACCUCUUUCGACAGGGACGAAGCGCAAGUGACGGUACCUGGAGAAGAAGCGCCGGCCAACUACGUGCCAGCAGCCGCGGUA